rnacentral:rRNA from 1 species
AUUGAACGCUGGCGGCAUGCCUUACACAUGCAAGUCGAACGGCAGCACGGGAGCAAUCCUGGUGGCGAGUGGCGAACGGGUGAGUAAUACAUCGGAACGUGCCCAGUAGUGGGGGAUAACCCGGCGAAAGCCGGACUAAUACCGCAUACGACCUACGGGUGAAAGCAGGGGAUCGCAAGACCUUGCGCUAUCGGAGCGGCCGAUGUCAGAUUAGCUAGUUGGUGGGGUAAAAGCCCACCAAGGCGACGAUCAGUAAGCUGGUUUGAGAGAACGACCAGCCACACUGGGACUGAGACACGGGCCCAGACUCCUACGGGAGGCAGCAGUGGGGAAUUUUGGACAA